GCUGUGCAGUGGUAUGCACGUGUGGUCCAGCUACUCGGGAAGGAGGCUGAGGUGGGAGGACUGCCUGAGCCCAGAAGUUCUGGGCUGUAGCGCACUGUGCCAACUGGCUGUUUGCACUAAGUUCAGAAUCAAUAUGGUGAUCUCCUGGGAGCAGGGGAUUACCAGGUUGCCCAAGGAGGUUGGAACUGGCCCAGACUGGAAACUGAGCAGGUAAAAACUCACUCCCAUGAUAAUCAGUAGUGGGACUGUACGCCAGCCUGGGCCACAUAGUGCAACCCCCAUCUCU
rnacentral:SRP_RNA from 1 species